GUUCAUUAUUACAGAUUAUAACUUUUUUCCUACCUAAAUUAUUUCAAAUACAACUAACAUAACAUGAUAAAUAUUACAGAUCCAUCCAUCCAUUUUUCUACCGCUUGUCCCUAUGUAUGAUAAUAAUUGUUACAUUAUUAGAUAUUCUUGAAUAAAACACUAAACACACAAAUCUCCGACCUCAUGACGUCAAUACUGACACUUAAUUUUAAAAAAACCAACUAAUAAUUAUCCCCUCCUGCUCCGGCCCGGCUGCACCAAAUGAUAAUAUAAAUAUUUUUAAUAAAGUCAAAUACAAAUAAGGCAACAAGAGAAGUAUCCUACACUUCUCUUUUGUAAAGUAAAUCUGAACAGCCGAUAUGGGCAUCUACAUCAACUAUAUGAUUUGCCGGAAAAAUUGAACAGGAAAAAAAAAAAAAAAACAUUUAAUAAAAAAAUAAAACACUAAUCAAUAGAAAUGGCAAUUCCGGAAGUGACGCCGACACCCGGUAGUAAAUUGUCCAGCAGCUAUCUAAUAAGGUAGCACCUUCAAACCAGGUCAGUUCCUUUAAUCUCAAUUGUUUUUGCUUCAAAUGCUGUUAUUUUUUUUUUUUUUAAACUUUUUAUGUAGUUUACAUGUAUGAGACAUUGGACGUUCGUUUCGUUGAGAAAAUUACAGCUAGCUUAACGAGCUAUUUAGCUUGAAAUGAUCAACAGGUGUUCUUUCUGUGUGGGCACGAUUUGGAAUAAGACAAAAUGUUGGUUUCCUCUUUUAAAGUUUGUAAGGGAGGAGAACAUUAUCACAGAUAACCCACAGGAAGCAGGCGUGCAGAACGGAUUUGUUUUAUUGCUUCUAUUUUGCUGGCCGUCUGGUGGUGCUGCAUGGUUGUGGACCAGAGAGCCACGAAGACACAAAGUGGUCCAGACGGCAGAGAAUCAACCGCCAGACAACAUGAUGGCGCAACCAAACUUGAUAGUUGAUACUGUUACCUGAUUGGCUUUGAACGUAGAACGUUCACUGAUCAGUGAUCUUUUCAAGAGUUGCUCGGUUACCAGAAAGCGAGUGUGUUUGUUCAUGCAACCAACUUUGUUUUGCAACUUCCGCUUUCU